rnacentral:rRNA from 1 species
CCUACGGGAGGCAGCAGUAAGGAAUAUUGGUCAAUGGGCGAAAGUCUGAACCAGCCAUGCCGCGUGAAGGAUUAAGGCCCUCUGGGUUGUAAACUUCUUUUAUCUGGGACGAAAAAAGGGUAUUCUUACUCACUUGACGGUACCAGAGGAAUAAGCACCGGCUAACUCCGUGCCAGCAGCCGCGGUAAUACGGAGGGUGCAAGCGUUAUCCGGAUUUACUGGGUUUAAAGGGUGCGUAGGUGGGCUUGUAAGUCAGUGGUGAAAUCUCCGGGCUUAACCCGGAAACUGCCAUUGAUACUAUAGGUCUUGAAUUAUCUGGAGGUAAGCGGAAUAUGUCAUGUAGCGGUGAAAUGCUUAGAUAUGACAUAGAACACCAAUUGCGAAGGCAGCUUACUACGGAUAUAUUGACACUGAGGCACGAAAGCGUGGGGAUCAAACAGGAUUAGAUACCCUGGUAGUCCACGCCCUAAACGAUGGAUACUCGACAUCAGCGAUACACUGUUGGUGUCUGAGCGAAAGCAUAAGUAUCCACCUGGGAAGUACGAUCGCAAGAUUGAAACUUCAAAGGAAUUGACGGCNGNGAGNGCGAGACGACGACGAGGAGAGG